rnacentral:rRNA from 1 species
GUCAGCGCGAGGGCACGCCUGCCUGGGCGUCACAC